AUACCGCGAAACUGCGAAUGGCUCAUUAAAUCAGUUAUCGUCUAUUUGAUAGUACCUUACUACUUGGAUAACCGUGGUAAUUCUAGAGCUAAUACAUGCUGAAAACCCCGACUUCGGAAGGGAUGUAUUUAUUAGAUUAAAAGCCAAUGCCCUUCGGGGCUCCCUGGUGAUUCAUAAUAACUGCUCGAAUCGCACGGCCUUGCGCCGGCGAUGGUUCAUUCAAAUUUCUGCCCUAUCAACUUUCGACGGCUGGGUCUUGGCCAGCCGUGGUGACAACGGGUAACGGAGGGUUAGGGCUCGACCCCGGAGAAGGAGCCUGAGAAACGGCUACUACAUCCAAGGAAGGCAGCAGGCGCGCAAAUUACCCAAUCCCGACUCGGGGAGGUAGUGACAAUAAAUACUGAUACAGGGCUCUUUUGGGUCUUGUAAUUGGAAUGAGUACAAUUUAAUUCCCUUAACGAGGAACAAUUGGAGGGCAAGUCUGGUGCCAGCAGCCGCGGUAAUUCCAGCUCCAAUAGCGUAUAUUAAAGUUGUUGCAGUUAAAAAGCUCGUAGUUGAACCUUGGGCCUGGCUGGCCGGUCCGCCUCACCGCGUGCACUGGUCCGGCCGGGCCUUUCCCUCUGGGGAGCCGCAUGCCCUUCACUGGGCGUGUCGGGGAACCAGGACUUUUACUUUGAAAAAAUUAGAGUGUUCAAAGCAGGCUUAUGCUCGAAUACAUUAGCAUGGAAUAAUAGAAUAGGACGCGUGGUUCUAUUUUGUUGGUUUCUAGGACCGCCGUAAUGAUUAAUAGGGACAGUCGGGGGCAUCAGUAUUCAACUGCGAGAGGUGAAAUUCUUGGACCAGCUGAAGACUAACUACUGCGAAAGCAUUUGCCAAGGAUGUUUUCAUUAAUCAGGAACGAAAGUUAGGGGAUCGAAGACGAUCAGAUACCGUCGUAGUCUUAACCAUAAACUAUGCCGACUAGGGAUCGGGCGGUGUUAUCUUUUGACCCGCUCGGCACCUUGCACGAAAGUACAAGUUUCUGGG
rnacentral:rRNA from 2 species